rnacentral:snoRNA from 1 species
UGACAUAAUGAUGAUCAACAAGGGACUUAAUACUGAUGUGUGAUGUCACCUUAUCAUUCUGAAUCUC